CCCGGUUCCUCGGCCUGCGCUGGCCCAUGAUGCGCAGCCCAACACAGCUUCGAUGGCCAGCGCGCCCUGGCUUCCCGCCCGCGCGCCCGCGCGAGCGCCGAGCCACCGCAUCCUAUCGUCCUGCGCGUGGGCCCCACUCACCAAUCUGCCCCACGCCCCACCUCCUGUUUAUCUUCUCCGAAACCGCCCUCCACGCAUGACUCCCCCACGACGGUUCCAUUUGCCCCAGCACCCCAUUUCCCUCUCCCUCUCCCUCACACGCGCCCACACCUCCGCUGCCACCGCCGUUCACGCCGUGCUGCAUCUGCAGCCGCGCCAUCGCCCGUCACCUGGUGCCCCGCCGCUCUAAGCUCGCAUCGUCGUCCGCCGAGGAUCCUGCGUGGAGCCGUUGCCGAGGUGAGCUCUCCUCUCUCCCUUCCUUCCCUGCACACGUGUGUCCCUGCUCCCACUGUCUGGUCAUGCUUCGCCGUCUUGCCCCGGCGAGCCGAGCAACGCUAGCGUCGCUGUAGAGCUGCUACUCGCGGGCUUCCUGCCCCAGCCGCGCGUUGUAACACCGCUCCGCCCUCCGCCGUUGCUAGCCGCAUCCAGCCCACGAGGUCCGCGUUCCACCCCCUUUGCACAUCACCGAACGCCAGCUCCCAGCCAUGUGCCGCUAAACGCCUCGUUCCUGGUCUUGCUGCGCGCCCGGUCGUGCGCUGUCGUCAAUCCGGCCAGCGAAUUGGCGGCGAGUGGCCGAGCAGCCCAAUGGCCAAGCCUAGCCGGACGGUAGAGAGCCUCCUCCUUUCUCUCCCCUUGCUGUGGCUGUGUUGGAUGGUCCAAGAAAGUCGAAGGAAGAAGAGGGACCGCUGGUGCGAUUCGUUCGUCCGGGCAGAGCCAGAAAACGAAGAAACCAUGUGGAGAAACGGCUGGUGGGCCCACCCAUGUGCUCAUGCAUGCCGUGAGAAACCUCUUGGGCGCAUGCAUGAAAACAACCCCAGGAAACGUGGCCAAGUUUAGGACUUUUCUUUGGCCACUUCUACCGUGCAGGAUUUUCUAUGGACAGGUUCUUAUGGCCCACUAGGUGGUUAAUCCCUCAACCAAUUAUAUUGCGCCACAUAGCUCAAUUCGGUAACUAUUCAUAUCCUUUCGCAUUAUAAAUCCGCUUUGACCCGUUUCAGUAGCGUUAACUUUAUAACAAAUAAAGUGCAUAUUAGUAACAUUGUUUUGUCGUGACACAUGUUAUAAUUAAUUAAUUAAUUAUUCAUUUAGUGGUUAUUAGAACGACCUUCCAAUUAAAUCUAAUUUAUAGUUUUAAUUUAUGCAUUUAUAAAUAAACGUUAAUAUGAUUAAUAGUAAUCAAAUGUUUUGAUUCAACAUUACUUAGUGUGAUUAUGACGUGUGUUUAGCGGUUCUCAUAUGUUGCAUAGUUUAUCAUUCGUGAAUUGUUACCUAUUCAAUAAACCAUAUGUCGUAAACCCGUUUUGACUCGCUUUAAUCGCGUUAACUUCAUAACCUCGUCGCCAUCGUGUUGAUGACAUUAUUUCAUCGUGAUGCGCGUUUUAGCUAAUUAAUCGAUUAUUUAUUUAUCUGACAGUUACUAAAAGUAGCAAUCUAAUCAAACUAACGUAUACUUUGAUUCACUUUAUAGAUACUUGUUAAUAUAACUGCGCCUGCUCGUGAUGGUAAAUUUCUUCCGCUUAUAAUCACUUAGGUUAAAUAACAUUAAUUCAUCAGGUCAUAUAUUUUAAAUAAUUUAUUUAAUAUCGCUCGACUAAUGGUGUGACGGAACCUCCUAAGUAAUUAGGCCCACCUACAGUUGUCCUUGUCCAACGGACCUCAGACACCCUGUAGAUGUUCCUAAGUUACUUGACAAGCUCGGUAUCUUUCCUUACCUUACCAGGAACGUCUCACCCGUCUUGCAGACAUUACAGAACAUCGGAGAUAAAGAGAUGCGGAAGCAAUUACAUAAACUUACAUUUAUUUCAAAAGCAAGCUUGAGUUAUUUUAUUACAGACCAGAACUAAAAAGUGAGUGCAGAGUAGUAAUAUUAUACAAACCAAGGGAGGCACAAACUCCUCCCGAUAAGCUAUAAGCAAAAGAUCCUAUGUGGAGGACCGAGUCCUCCCGCACUUCAGUCUUGUUUUUCUUCUUUUGGAACCACCUUGGCACAGAAGCAGCAAAAGUCUGCUACUUCCUCACCUAAAAACAACGAAGGGAUAAACCCUGAGUAUGGAAUUACUCAGCAAGUCUUACCCGACUAAAGAAAAGACUCUCAAGGGUAUGCUGGUUGUAUGGGAGUCAAGGUAAGGCUUUUCAAUAAUCAAAGACGCUGUUUUGCAGAAAUGCUUACUAAAGUGGAUCCUUAAAAAUCCAAUUUUAUUUGUCAAGUUAAGUAAAAUUACCUGCACUAGGGUUCUUUCUACCCUAGUUCAAUCACUGGUCCUGCACUAGCCAAUUUCUUAACAAAAGCCCAUCGUCUUUAGUGGAAUGCUACGUGUAGGGCAGUGACCAAGUCUUCAUAACCGCGAAGGUACGGCGAUCCGAAUCGAUUAUACUCAGCUGAGGAUCUCCAAUCACACGACAUAUGUAGCACUUAACCCUUGCAUAUGUCAACCCGCCACCGGGGUUCUUAAGACCGGAUCAGGUUCACGCAAACCGAGAGCACAGAUACACCACCGUCCAGCCUCUUGCCAUGGAGGGUACACGCUACUCUCGCCAUCGCUCCACGCCCAUUUCGUGUUAUCUUAUUCCGGCCUUAGUCUGCCCGAGGCAAGGCUUACCCAUGACGAGGCAUGUGACCAGUUAAAGGGUCCUCGAUCAUCAAGCCUACAUCGACAAGGUCCUUAAUCGACUCAGACGGAGACACUACACCGAGACUCUCUUCUCGUGCAAGUCACCCGCCCGGUCUCAACUUAAUUAUUUCAAACCCAAAGUUUGGUACCUGGCAGAGGUACAUCUUUUCCGAUGUUGAACCUAUCAAGGCCUUUGAUAGAUCCAUCAUCAAGUUUUAUUUUCGAAAAACAUCCCACCCACUUUUGCCACAUCAUAUUUUGUAAAAACAAAACCUUUUGUUUUCUAAAGCCAAGCUAAGCAUCAAAAAGCUUUUGUAAAACAGGUGAUUAAGGAAGGUAAUCCAAUUCAAGGAAGGUAAUGCAGGAAUGGUUUUAUCAAGCAACUCCUAUCACCUAAUGCAGCAAUCAAGUGAGAAAGAUUUUAAAAUAGCAAGGAAGGUGGCAAAUGCACCGGGGCUUGCCUUCGUUUACAGGUGAUUCGGGUUCGGAUCCACAGAUAUCGAAGUAGAAACUAUUGCCUGCUUGUGAAUCCGAAGGAGGUGGUGCCCUGUCUUCGGUGACUUCUAUCUCUUCUUCACGUUCUAAUCAUAACCAUACAUAAGUAUAAGAAUGGAUGCCAUGGGAUGCUCAUGAGGAUGCAAAUAUAAACUUAUUAUCUAUGUCUUGAAUACAACUUUCCUUCACGGUGUUCCGGGAACUUAGGGUUUCCGGAGUCGGUAAAGGAGUUCAUAGGGCAGGGGGGGUGUUUUGGGGUUUGGUGAUCAAACAAGGUCCAAAUCAAUUCAAAUCCUACCCAAGGCUUCUAAAUAUUAUGAGGAACUCAUAUAAAAAUUUUGAGCAUUUUUGGAAUUACCCUUUGUUUUCUAAAAAUCCAUAACCAACAUUUUUAACCACUUUAAAUACCCUAAAAUUUCUUACUUCCACUAAAAUUCACAAACUUAUUUUUACUAAAUUCUAGGGAAAAUAACAAGCCUAGGAAAAUUAGUUUCACAAUUUUAGCAUUUUUCUACAUUUUUUUACAUAUUUCUAAAGCUCUGCUGAAAAAGAAAAAGGAAAAGGAUUAAAUAGAACUGGGCCGGUUCUGGCCCAGACGGCCCAGGUCCAGGGCAAAACGCGCCCGCGCGCGCCCGCGCCCUGGCGGCUUUGCAGAAAGGGCCCCGAGUUUUUGACUAACUGUGAACGAGUUCAGUUACUAUUUGUAUCAGUCACUGACAAAUUGCACCGGGGCCCCUCAGGUUCUAUUUCUCCACAGGUGAGGUCCCUGACGACGGCAGCGCACGGAGGAGCUCCGGCGAGCGCGUAGACUGGCCGAGCGGGGCCACGACCGGUGCUCAGCUGCGGCCUAAACCAAAUUCACAACCUAGCGGAUGUUUCCCCUAGGUUAAUUUGAAGAAUGGUGCCCUAAUUUGCCCUGACCACGGCAACCGUGAGUAUUGCGGCUAGGUGGUCGCGUUCCCGGCGACCAGAGGAUUCUCAAUCCAAUUGCAUGCGUCGGUGAGUUUGAGGGAAGCUUAAGGAUGCUAAAACGAGAUUAGAGAGGGCGUGAUCGGACCUGGAGAGGGCUGGCCACGACGAGCUUGGGUUCACGGCGUUCUUCAAUCGGUUUGGGGGAAAUUCCAAAUUCAAGUUCUCUGGUGGGGGGUUUGGGAUGCAGGUGGGUGCAGUAGAUGCUUGGAUGCAUGGCGGAGCUGGGGGUACGGUCAAUUUAUAGCGCCCGCGGGCGGUGGUGCUCAAUUUGGCCGAGCCACGCGGCGGUCGGAGGUGAAGAAGAAAGCACUGGCCGCGUGAGUUCGUGGCCAACGGCGUGGCAAGCUCACCGGCGUCGAUGGGACAGCCUUAAGGUGUCACGGCGGUGCGGUGGAAAGGCUAAGCCACGCGGCACAUGGCCGGGAGGCGGCGGUCACCGGCGAGGUAAUCCACUCAGCCGCAAGGAGGGAGAGAGGGCCACGGGGGUCAACGGAGUGAUCGCCAGCGCACGGGCGGUGAAGAUCUUUUACCCCGCAAGGUUAUCCAUUAGCUAUGAGCGCGAAUCCGGACGGCGGCAGCACGAAUCACGGCGGAGGGAGCCGUCGGCGGUGAGGACAGCCGCGCUGGCGGUCUGAUCCCUAUUGAGCACUGUACCAUGGCAGUCACCAAUUCAGAGCGACUGACAGAGCACAUUGGAGCAUCAUUUUCUCUGAUUUUCAGAUGGCAACACACCCAAUGAUCUAUAGCAAAGUUGUAGUGCUAUAAUCCAUCUAUAUCUUUGCUAUAAUGUGUACUCACAAAAGGUCACUGGAUCCCCUUCAAAAUCGAGCUCAAAGUUCAUGUCAUAACACUGUUAAUCUGCAUUUCAGACUACAGGCAGCCUGACAGUCCAUCUUUGAUUGGGUUUUUCUCCAAAUUUCACAUAAGACCAUGGCUUGAACCCUUAAACAAAGUUGUUCUCCCAUGAUUGAUCUUCAACUUUGAUGUGGUCACCUAACAUGAAUUCUCACUAUUUUGAAAGCUACACAGCCCCAAAGUUGGGCCUACAACCCUGUUUUCAGACUUAGCAUAGGACUCAAAUGAGGUCCAUUUUGCAUUUAAGUCCAAAACUUAGGGUUUGGCUUUCAAGUCCACAUGUUUGUGAACCAAAUGACUUAAAAUACUUAUUUAGCUUGGUUUUUGCACUUUAGCCCAAAAGUGGGCUAAUUUUGCACAUAAGCCCCUAGGGUUUGGUUUUAGGGUUUUCCAGGGUUCCAAUUAGGGUUUCUGGUAUUCCAGGGGUAUAAAAGUGAUUCAAGUUUAUUCUUGGGGUCAUUUUAUGACUUUUACCCUAAAGCUUUUAGGUUUUCUCAACUUGGGUUAGGUUUUACCCCUUUAAUCCCUAUUUAGGGUUAAGUCCUUUAACCAGGGUCCUAUUUGCAAAACACUUAAACAAUACAACUUGUUUGAAAUUUUUGCCUAGUGAAUGCACUCUAGGUGUGUCAAACAUAUGCAAUGCCAAUGCUCUGAUGCCAUGCUCAAGUUUUAGUUACAGUAACACCAGGGGUGUUACAUCCUUCCCCCCAUAAAAGAAUCUCGUCCCGAGAUUAAAAGUCCUAGGGUAAGUAAUGGUAAAGGAAACGCAUCACAUUUUUAUUCCCUUAUUUUUGGUACAAGACAGGGGUGGUGUGGGGGUUACUUCUUUAUUACAACAGCUAUACAGGCUUUACAACUUACAAGGGGCUAGAAAGCCUGGGAAAUUCUUAUCUAAGAAGUCUUGGGUUUCCCAUGUAGCCUCAUCUUCAGAAUGCUGGUUCCACUGUAUCUUGUAGAACUUGAGAGUCUUUCUCCGGGUAACCUUGUCCUUUUGAUCCAGAACUCGAAUGGGAUGUUCCGAGUAUGUUAAAUCUGGUUCCAGGACAACAUCAGUCACUUCAACGGUUCGAUCAGGAACCCGAAGACACUUCUUCAAUUGUGACACGUGGAACACAUUAUGCACAGCAGACAAUGUUUCGGGGAGCUGAAGUCGGUAUGCCACUGGUCCACAUUGCUCAAGCACCAGGAAUGGACCAAUGUACCUGGGUGCAAGUUUCCCUUUAACCCCAAAACGCGAUACACCUUUCAUUGGUGAGACCUUCAGGUAAACAUAGUCUCCUUCCAGGAAAUAUAAGGGCAUUCGCCGCGUGUCUGCAUAACUCUUCUGAUGAGCUUGUGCCUUCUUCAUAUUAUAAAUAAUUUUCUGAACCUUAUCCUCGGCCUCUUUCACCAUAUCAGGCCUAAAGAAGCAUCUUUCUCCAGGUUCAGACCAAUUUAGCGGAGUUCGACACCGUCGUCCAUAUAGCGCUUCGAAGGGUGCCAUCUUGAUACUUUCUUGAUAGCUAUUGUUAUAUGAAAACUCCGCCAAAGGCAAACAUUCAUCCCAUUUCGGUGAGAAGUCCAGAACACAUGCCCGCAGCAUAUCUUCAAGUAUUUGGUUCACUCUCUCAGUCUGUCCACUGGUUUGAGGAUGAUAGGCCGAACUGUGGAGCAAUUUGGUACCCAAGGAUUUAUGAAGUUCUUCCCAAAACUUGGAUACGAACUGAGGUCCACGAUCCGACACUAUGGUCUUUGGAACACCAUGCAAACUGAGAAUACGGGCAAUGUAUAACUCCACAUAGGUAAUGACGGGAUAUUUUACUUUGACAGGGAGGAAGUGGGCGAUCUUUGUAAGUCGAUCAACGAUAACCCAAAUAGAGUCAUACCCUUUCGCGGUCCUGGGCAAUCCCACAAUAAAGUCCAUGCUAAUGUCUUCCCAUUUCCAUGUUGGGAUUGGCAAAGAUUGUAAUGGACCAGCAGUUUUCAUGUGUAUGGCCUUGACACGUCUGCAAGUGUCACACUUAGCCACAUAGCGUGCAAUUUCAAUCUUCAUCUUUGUCCACCAGUAAUGUUGCUUUAAGUCUUGAUACAUCUUAGUGCUUCCGGGAUGAAUAGAAUAACGACUAAGAUGUGCUUCAUCAAGAAUUUGCUGGCGGAGUUCUUCGUUCUUUGGCACUACUAUGCGGUUUUUAAACCAUAUCACACCUUGAUUGUCUUCCUUGAAACACUUGGCUACUCCAGCCCUUAUCUUCUCUCGUAUGUGCUUCAUACCCAGAUUAUCCUUUUGAGCAUCAAUUAUCCUUUGCAAAAUGAUUGACUCAAGCUUUAGCUGAUUUAGAGUCCCUUGUUGGAUUAUUCCCAGGUUUAGUUUUUCCAUCUCCUGACACAAAGUGUUCUCGGAGGUCUUCGCCAUAAGACAGUGGUAGGAGGUCUUACGACUCAAUGCGUCUGCUACCACAUUGGCUUUGCCUGGGUGGUAAUGGAUCUCCAGUUCAUAGUCUUUAAUGAGCUCAAGCCAUCGUCUUUGCCUCAUAUUUAACUCUGACUGGGUGAAGAUGUACUUCAAACUUUUAUGAUCUGUAUAUAUGUGACAGAUAUUUCCCAGCAGAUAGUGACGCCAUAUCUUCAGGGCAUGAACCACAGCAGCUAGCUCCAGAUCAUGAGUUGGAUAAUGCUCCUCAUGUCGGCGCAACUGCCUUGAAGCAUACGUGAUUACUCGGCCCUCUUGCAUCAGUACACAGCCGAGCCCACUGCCAGAUGCAUCACAAUAUACAUCAAAAGGCUUAGUGAUGUCCGGUUGAGCCAAUACCAGAGCAGUGGUCAAUAGUGUCUUCAAUUGCUCAAAGGCUUCAUUACACUUAGAAGACCAAUUGAACUUAAUGUCAUUCUUCAAUAAACUUGUGAUUGGCUUCACAAGCUUAGAAAAAUCUGGUAUGAAUCUGCGAUAAUACCCAGCUAGUCCAAGAAAACUCCGGACUUGGUGAACAGUUGUUGGGGGUUUCCACUCCAGAAUAUCUUUGACCUUGCUAGGAUCUACCGCAAUUCCUUUAGCCGAUAACACGUGCCCCAAAAAUUGAAUUUCUUCCAGCCAGAACGCGCACUUGCUGAACUUGGCAUAUAGCUGAUGUUCCCUCAGGCGCGUCAAUACAAUCCGUAGAUGCUGAGCAUGGUCCUCUUUAUUUUUAGAAUAUAUCAAGAUAUCAUCGAUGAAGACUACCACGAACUUGUCCAACUCGGGCAUGAACACCGAGUUCAUCAAAUAAGUGAAAUGGGCAGGAGCAUUUGUGAGCCCGAAAGACAUUACCAGGUAUUCAAACAAUCCAUACCGCGUAGUAAACACGGUCUUCGGUAUAUCCUCGGGCCGAAUACGGAUUUGAUGAUAGCCCGACCUGAGAUCAAUUUUGGAGAAUACCCUCGCCCCAGUCAGUUGAUCAAAUAAGAUGUCGAUCCUUGGAAGAGGGUACUUAUUCUUGAUGGUGACCUCAUUCAGGGGUCGAUAAUCCACGCACAUUCGCAAAGUUUGAUCCUUCUUCUUAACAAAAAUGGCGGGACAACCCCAUGGGGACGAGCUUGGCCGGAUGAAUCCCUUAUUCAGUAGAUCUUGUAAUUGAAUUUUCAAUUCCGCCAACUCAUUAGGGGGCAUACGGUACGAUCUUCGGGAGAUAGGAGCCGUACCGGGCUUUAGCUCAAUUACGAAUUCUACAUCUCUUUCAGGGGGCAGUCCAGGCAAAUCUUCCGGAAAUACAUCUGGAAACUCACAUACUACCGGAAUGUUCUUGAUCUCCGGUACAAUGGCUUCAUAUACGCUACCAGAAGCUUUGGCUGGAUUGGUUGCGGGGAGAGUCAAAAGAAUCUCUUCUUGAUUAUAGCUCAACCUAACGGUUCUGAGUUCAGUGUUGAGAAUUGCCUUAUGUUGGGUUAACCAAUUCAUACCCAAAAUUACAUCUAUAUCCUGGCCUUUCAGAAUAAUCAUGUUAGCAGGAAAGUUCCGCUCGGCCAUUGUUACUGGCACUCCAUAGGCCACUUCUCUAGUAUAAAUGUGUCCCCCAGGUGAAUGAAUUUUAAAUCCCUCCUUUGAUUCAUGGUAUGCAAUAUAAUGUUGCUCCACAAAUUUCUUGCUAAUGAAUGUAUGUGAAGCACCAGAAUCAAAAAGAAUAAUUGCUGGGUGACUGGCCACGGGAAACGUACCCAUCAUCACCGGCUCUCCUUCCGGUGUAGUAGCCACUUGAGUGUAAUAUACACGCCCCGUCUUCUUCGUAUUCUUCCCCACAGCAUUUCCUUUAGGCUGAGCUGAUUUCCCAGAUCCUUGCGAAGCAUUAGAUUGAUUUUGCCUAGGAUAUGGGCAGUCUUUGAUGAAGUGUCCCGACUUGCCGCAAUUAAAACACCCAGUUGAAGAACUAGGCAAGGCAGGAAAUCGAGUGCCUGGGGCACCCGGCUGAUUUGGAGUAGUGGGGGUAUUGUUGGGGCGAAUAAUGAUAGGUUGUUUGAAAGGGAAUGAGGGUGGACGAGAAAAAGUGCGAUUUUGGCUUGAAGGCCGGAUCACAAACCGUUGCUUCUUCGCCUGGCCCUGAUUAGGCCUCUCACCACCGAAUCCCUUAUUCUUCCCAGAAUUUGUGUAUUUGGCUUCAACAGAUAAGGCUGUGCUGACAGCCUUUCCAUACGUGAGAUCUAUACAUGUGGCCAUCUUUCUCUGUAGCCGAUCAUUUAGACCCCGCAUAAAACAGUUCUUCUUCUUUAAAUCAGUAUUCACCUGGUCGAUGGCAUACUGCGACAGGUGAUUAAACUUGUUGAGGUAUUGAUUGACGGUAUCUCCACCUUGUUGUAACUUCAUAAAUUCCUCUUGUUUCAUAUGCAGCACUCCUUCGGGGAUGUAGUGUUCACGGAAGGCUGCUUUAAACUCAUCCCAGGUGACUUGAUGGUUGACAGGUUGAAUAGCCACGAAAUUUCCCCACCAGGUACUGGCAGGACCACGGAGUUGUUGUGCUGCGAACAACGGCUUCUGCGUCUCGGAACAACGGAGAAGACCAAACUUUUGUUCAAUAACCCGAAUCCACUCAUCAGCUUCUAGGGGAUCUUCUGCCUUGACGAAUAGAGGUGGACGGGUUUCCGAGAAAUCCAAAUAAGUAGUUUCAAGGGGGCCAUGCGGAUAACCCCUUCCUGCCUGCUGCUGGAAUUGCUGCUGACCCGCCAUUUCCCUAAGGAAGCGGGUAUUGUCAGCGGUGGCAUUCACCAAGGCGGCAAUCGCCUCGGCUAACGUGGGAGGAACCGGAGGUGGGUUUGGGGUAACAUCCCUUCCCCCAGAAGUUCUGGCUGCGUCCUGUCCUCGAGUCCUGGUCGGCAUCUCAAAGAAGGAGGGGGCUCAAAAAGGUCUAACUCCCCACCCAGCGCGCGUCCCGCAACGUGAGAUGGUCUGGCUUCCGCCUCAGCAGGGUGUGCAGGCUCACUAGGGUGUAACUGUAAGUAUAAUAUAUGGACUUCCUCAUGCAACGUAUUGCAGUAAACCUGCAGGUCAUCGACAGUCGAGCUAAGUUCUUUAAUUCGGGCCUGAGCCCUUGCUUCCUUAGCACAUAUUAGCAAACGAGACUGUACAGCCCAGUCAAGUGCUAAGUCUCGAUCAGCGAGUUGAUCCUGCAGAUGUCGGAUGUCCCUUCUCAGUUCAUUGAUUCUAUCUCCGUCGGUGACCCAAGCAUCGGUCCUAUGUUGCAGUGCUGCUUGAAGUCGACUCACACGGGCUUCAAGAUCUCCGAUGGGGUCGUUACUUCCACUGCUGCUGCUUUCAUGUCGGGGAGCCAAUUGAUGCCGAGGCACCCCAAUUGGUCCCGUAGACUUGCGUGCCGUUAGCCUGGUUCAUGGCGGCAUCUUUUCUAAGGGGGAAAAUAUGAUUCUUAGCAUGAUGCAUGUAUAAUUACAGAAUCAACCUUAGUCGAUUCAACCUUCUAUACAUUGCACUCUUCCUAUCUGGUCUUUAAGAUAGACUCUUCAGAAUACUCAGGUAAGAAGAGAAAAGAAUUUUUAGGUAAGACUUUUGAAAAUCCUUUUGAAGAUGCCUCAUAAUAUCUGCAAAGAAGGGCUACGCUCCGAUACCAGCUGUGACGGAACCUCCCAAGUAAUUAGGCCCACCUACAGUUGUCCUUGUCCAACGGACCUCAGACACCCUGUAGAUGUUCCUAAGUUACUUGACAAGCUCGGUAUCUUUCCUUACCUUACCAGGAACGUCUCACCCGUCUUGCAGACAUUACAGAACAUCGGAGAUAAAGAGAUGUGGAAGCAAUUACAUAAACUUACAUUUAUUUCAAAAGCAAGCUUGAGUUAUUUUAUUACAGACCAGAACUAAAAAGUGAGUGCAGAGUAGUAAUAUUAUACAAACCAAGGGAGGCACAAACUCCUCCCGAUAAGCUAUAAGCAAAAGAUCCUAUGUGGAGGACCGAGUCCUCCCGCACUUCAGUCUUGUUUUUCUUCUUUUGGAACCACCUUGGCACAGAAGCAGCAAAAGUCUGCUACUUCCUCACCUAAAAACAACGAAGGGAUAAACCCUGAGUAUGGAAUUACUCAGCAAGUCUUACCCGACUAAAGAAAAGACUCUCAAGGGUAUGCUGGUUGUAUGGGAGUCAAGGUAAGGCUUUUCAAUAAUCAAAGACGCUGUUUUGCAGAAAUGCUUACUAAAGUGGAUCCUUAAAAAUCCAAUUUUAUUUGUCAAGUUAAGUAAAAUUACCUGCACUAGAGUUCUUUCUACCCUAGUUCAAUCACUGGUCCUGCACUAGCCAAUUUCUUAACAAAAGCCCAUCGUCUUUAGUGGAAUGCUACGUGUAGGGCAGUGACCAAGUCUUCAUAACCGCGAAGGUACGGCGAUCCGAAUCGAUUAUACUCAGCUGAGGAUUUCCAAUCACACGACAUAUGUAGCACUUAACCCUUGCAUAUGUCAACCCGCCACCGGGGUUUUUAAGACCGGAUCAGGUUCACGCAAACCGAGAGCACAGAUACACCACCGUCCAGCCUCUUGCCACGGAGGGUACACGCUACUCUCGCCACCGCUCCACGCCCAUUUCGUGUUAUCUUAUUCCGGCCUUAGUCUGCCCGAGGCAAGGCUUACCCAUGACGAGGCAUGUGACCAGUUAAAGGGUCCUCGAUCAUCAAGCCUACAUCGACAAGGUCCUUAAUCGACUCAGACGGAGACACUACACCGAGACUCUCUUCUCGUGCAAGUCACCCGCCCGGUCUCAACUUAAUUAUUUCAAACCCAAAGUUUGGUACCUGGCAGAGGUACAUCUUUUCCGAUGUUGAACCUAUCAAGGCCUUUGAUAGAUCCAUCAUCAAGUUUUAUUUUCGAAAAACAUCCCACCCACUUUUGCCACAUCAUAUUUUGUAAAAACAAAACCUUUUGUUUUUCUAAAGCCAAGCUAAGCAUCAAAAAGCUUUUGUAAAACAGGUGAUUAAGGAAGGUAAUCCAAUUCAAGGAAGGUAAUGCAGGAAUGGUUUUAUCAAGCAACUCCUAUCACCUAAUGCAGCAAUCAAGUGAGAAAGAUUUUAAAAUAGCAAGGAAGGUGGCAAAUGCACCGGGGCUUGCCUUCGUUUACAGGUGAUUCCGGUUCGGAUCCACAGUUAUCGAAGUAGAAACUAUUGCCUGCUUGUGAAUCCGAAGGAGGUGGUGUCCUGUCUUCGGUGACUUCUAUCUCUUCUUCACGUUCUAAUCAUAACCAUACAUAAGUAUAAGAAUGGAUGCCAUGGGAUGCUCAUGAGGAUGCAAAUAUAAACUUAUUAUCUAUGUCUUGAAUACAACUUUCCUUCACGGAGUUCCGGGAACUUAGGGUUUUCGGAGUCGGUAAAGGAGUUCAUAGGGCAGGGGGGGUGUUUUGGGGUUUGGUGAUCAAACAAGGUCCAAAUCAAUUCAAAUCCUACCCAAGGCUUCUAAAUAUUAUGAGGAACUCAUAUAAAAAUUUUGAGCAUUUUUGGAAUUACCCUUUGUUUUCUAAAAAUCCAUAACCAACAUUUUUAACCACUUUAAAUACCCUAAAAUUUCUUACUUCCACUAAAAUUCACAAACUUAUUUUUACUAAAUUCUAGGGAAAAUAACAAGCCUAGGAAAAUUAGUUUCACAAUUUUAGCAUUUUUCUACAUUUUUUUACAUAUUUCUAAAGCUCUGCUGAAAAAGAAAAAGGAAAAGGAUUAAAUAGAACUAGGCCGGUUCUGGCCCAGACGGCCCAGGUCCAGGGCAAAACGCGCCCGCGCGCGCCCGCGCCCUGGCGGCUUUGCAGAAAGGGCCCCGAGUUUUUGACUAACUGUGAACGAGUUCAGUUACUAUUUGUAUCAGUCACUGACAAAUUGCACCGGGGCCCCUGAGGUUCUAUUUCUCCACAGGUGAGGUCCCUGACGACGGCAGCGCACGGAGGAGCUCCGGCGAGCGCGUAGACCGGCCGAGCGGGGCCACGACCGGUGCUCAGCUGCGGCCUAAACCAAAUUCACAACCUAGCGAAUGUUUCCCCUAGGUUAAUUUGAAGAAUGGUGCCCUAAUUUGCCCUGACCACGGCAACCGUGAGUAUUGCGGCUAGGUGGUCGCGUUCCCGGCGACCAGAGGAUUCUCAAUCCAAUUGCAUGCGUCAGUGAUUUUGAGGGAAGCUUAAGGAUGCUAAAACGAGAUUAGAGAGGGCGUGAUCGGACCUGGAGAGGGCUGGCCACGACGAGCUUGGGUUCACGGCGUUCUUCAACCGGUUUGGGGGAAAUUCCAAAUUCAAGUUCUCUGGUGGGGGGUUUGGGAUGCAGGUGGGUGCCGUAGAUGCUUGGAUGCAUGGCGGAGCUGGGGGUACGGUCAAUUUAUAGCGCCCGCGGGCGGUGGUGCUCAAUUUGGCCGAGCCACGCGGCGGUCGGAGGUGAAGAAGAAAGCACUGGCCGCGUGAGUUCGUGGCUAACGGCGUGGCAAGCUCACCGGCGUCGAUGGGACAGCCUUAAGGUGUCACGGCGGUGCGGUGGAAAGGCUAAGCCACGCGGCACAUGGCCGGGAGGCGGCGGUCACCGGCGAGGUAAUCCACUCAGCCGCAAGGAGGGAGAGAGGGCCACAGGGGUCACCGGAGUGAUCGCCAGCGCACGGGCGGUGAAGAUCUUUUACCCCGCAAGGUUAUCCAUUAGCUAUGAGCGCGAAUCCGGACGGCGGCAGCACAAAUCACGGCGGAGGGAGCCGUCGGCGGUGAGGACAGCCGCGCUGGCGGUCUGAUCCCUAUUGAGCACUGUACCAUGGCAGUCACCAAUUCAGAGCGACUGACAGAGCACAUUGGAGCAUCAUUUUCUCUGAUUUUCAGAUGGCAACACACCCAGUGAUCUAUAGCAAAGUUGUAGUGCUAUAAUCCAUCUAUAUCUUUGCUAUAAUGUGUACUCACAAAAGGUCACUGGAUCCCCUUCAAAAUCGAGCUCAAAGUUCAUGUCAUAACACUGUUAAUCUGCAUUUCAGACUUCAGGCAGCCUGACAGUCCAUCUUUGAUUGGGUUUUUCUCCAAAUUUCACAUAAGACCAUGGCUUGAACCCUUAAACAAAGUUGUUCUCCCAUGAUUGAUCUUCAACUUUGAUGUGGUCACCUAACAUGAAUUCUCACUAUUUUGAAAGCUACACAGCCCCAAAGUUGGGCCUACAACCCUAUUUUCAGACUUAGCAUAGGACUCAAAUGAGGUCCAUUUUGCAUUUAAGUCCAAAACUUAGGGUUUGGCUUUCAAGUCCACAUGUUUGUGAACCAAAUGACUUAAAAUACUUAUUUAGCUUGGUUUUUGCACUUUAGCCCAAAAGUGGGCUAAUUUUGCACAUAAGCCCCUAGGGUUUGGUUUUAGGGUUUUCCAGGGUUCCAAUUAGGGUUUCUGGUAUUCCAGGGGUAUAAAAGUGAUUCAAGUUUAUUCUUGGGGUCAUUUUAUGACUUUUACCCUAAAGCUUUUAGGUUUUCUCAACUUGGGUUAGGUUUUACCCCUUUAAUCCCUAUUUAGGGUUAAGUCCUUUUACCAGGGUCCUAUUUGCAAAACACUUAAACAAUACAACUUGUUUGAAAUUUUUGCCUAGUGAAUGCACUCUAGGUGUGUCAAACAUAUGCAAUGCCAAUGCUAUGAUGCCAUGCUCAAGUUUUAGUUACAGUAACACCAGGGGUGUUACAAAUGGUUAUUAGAUUAAUAUUCUAACUAGAUUAAAUGUGUAGUAUUCCACUUGAUCUUUUAUAAUAAAUAUUAAUAUAGCAAAUAUUAAUUAACUACUUUAUGUAUUUAAUAUUGGUUUAGUAUAAACGUGUCACCUAUUUAGUUUUAUCACCUGUCACGUGUGCUAUUCCGCACGUGGUGGCAUUCUCGUUCGCGCUGGUCGCGCAUGUUGUUUCGUGUGUCGUCAGCGUGCUAUGUCGUGCGUGUCCGCGCGUCAUUUGCACGUUGUCGUAUUGAGUUCGUCGUCGUCACGUUGUUCGCGCUUGUCGCGCGUGGUGCGCGCGCUAGGUCUCGUGCAGUCGUGCUGUUUCACGCGUUACGUAUUUCGUCUCACUCCACUAAUUCGUCCCGCUUAGAGUCGCUGAUGUUAUUUAAAUUACUUAUUUAACUAAGAAUUAUUAGUGUGGUCAGCUAAUUAAAACUGUGCGAUAGAUCUAGUUUCAUUUUAAAUAAAUAUCGAUUAAUAUAUUCAGGUCAAACUAAAUGUUAUGAUUAAUACUCGUUUAGUGUAGACGCGAUAACCUCUCGAUCAUAGCUCCGCCUGUCGCGUUCCUUUUCCCUCGUGUGACUGUAGUAACGCGCUCUAUUUCGUUUUGCAUAUUUUAUUAUAUUUUCCUUUGUAUAGUGUAAUGUUCUUAUGCAUAUAUGUUUGUUUGUUUGUUCCUGUUUGUCUUCGCUUCGCGUUGCGAUUAGAUCACGAUUUGUUUCCGCGCUCCGAGGAAUCGACGAUCAAGCGUCGGUGACCAAAUGAUCAAGCUCUCUGAGUUUUAUGAGGUUGAAGAUCCUGAGCAUCUGUUUGGUGAAGGCAAGUGUCCUCUGACCCAUUAUGUCCCAUUCACUUUUAAUGCACUGUCCCGCAUUACUUAAUUGAAACCUAAGGAUUGACUAGCUUUCUAUUUACCUUAUCCUUGUUUACCUUUUGGGUUAUCACGGUUAGCAUUAUGCUAUUGCUUUACUUUAAUCAAUGAACAUGAUGUGAAUACUUAUGAUACUAUGAUGUUAUCCUGAUGAUGUUCCUGUGAUACUUUAGGGGGCUCAGGCUGUUUCCUGAGUGCCUCUCCGUAAGGACCUGUUUGGGGAGUGACAACCCGGGAUAACAGUGCAACCAUGAGGGUGGAAUGGGACGCCCUUAGCUGAUUAAUUAGAGGAACUAGAGGUGUAGUUGCUUCGCCGUCGUGCUGUCAAUGGGGUCCAGGCACAGUGCUUGCUCUACCGAGGCUGGGUGCCGAGGUUGUUUCGUUUUGCUUUUGUUAGUCACCCUCCUGUGGGGAGAGGUACUGUGUUUAUCAAACUGGAGAAACCUAACGGGCGGCUAUGACCUCUAGGGAAUCUUCGUAAAAGCUACGUAGUGAUACCCUGCCGGACCACCUAGGAAGUGAUCAAUGGGGAGUCAUGAUCCCCGGACAGAAAGGGAAUCAUGACUCAUGGGUAAAGUGUGCGACCUCUGCAGAGGGAAUGAAACUGAUAUAUCAGCCAUGCUCACGGUUAAGAGCGGCCUUGGGAUCCUCUUUGAUUAGAGAUACAGAUGAUAUGAGACACAAUGGUUUUAUUUAUGGUUUUGGUUCGAUGCUGAUAUUGGUGUUUCCUCGAUGAGGAAAUGGUUCAUGGGUUGGUUAUCUGAUAAAACUUGGCUUCCACUAAUAAUAAAUACCUGACCAACUAAAAGCAAUCUGCUUUGACCUUAACCCCACAUAAAGCUAGUCCACUUCAGCCAAACAGGACAUUUGCUGAGUACGUUGAUGUGUACUCACCCUUGCUUUCACAAAACACCAGGUUGCCUUUGGUGCAAUCUAUACUCAAGUAAAGAAGAAGGCGUCGAGGCGGAUCUCCAGGAGUUCCAGGACUUCGACGAGUUCGAGGAUUAGGCUAGCGACCACCCCCAAGUUAGCUGCCUGUGGUGGGUUUAUUUACGUUGGCUACGUUUCUAUUCUGUGUACUUUGAUUAUAUUAUGUAAAUGACUCUAGUCUUUAUAUUAUUACUUACUCUUUAUUGUUAUUCGAAGCAUUGUGCUAUGAUGAGUCAUUUAUGUAAUCGCCGUGUACGUGAAUUUCUGAUCCUGGCACGUACAUGGUUCGCAUUCGGUUUGCCUUCUGAAACCGGGUGUGACAGUGCGGGAUGACGACCGCGACGGCGGGGGUAGGAGAGGGCGGGAGGCGCGGUCGGGGGGAGUGGGACGCGAUUUGUGGCUCGCCGAUCUCGCGUCGCGCAAGGAAAGGGGAGCCGAUCUCGCUGCCAUGUAUGGGAGCCAGC
rnacentral:lncRNA from 1 species